ensembl:lncRNA
AGGGAUGCUGAGUACAGGGCCAACACCCUGCUUUUGCUUCCAAUUCUUGAGAAGUAGCAGUUGGGUUUUUAGUCUUUUUUCUUAUUGUUCAUAAUUUGUCCCAACUAUACAUGCAUGCAGUUAUUUUUAGUUCCUUACAGUUUCUUUGUAUUUCAUUGCUCCAGAAGAGGAGAGGUUUGUCCAGGUGGAAGCACUGCAGCAAAGGGCCCCAGGGACCAGUUUCCAGCCUGUUUCAAAUUCCUUGAGAAGGUGGCCCAUGCACUCCAGAGCCAUCGUGAUGGAAAUAAGCCCAGAAAGGGGUCAUGUAUGGAUGUGAGAGUUGGACUCUAAAGAAAGCUGAGUGCUGAAGAAUUGAUGUUUUUGAAUUGUGGUAUUGGAGAAGACUCUUGAGAGUCCCUUGGACUGCAAGGAGAUCCUACCAGUCCAUUCUAAAGGAAAUCAGUCCUGAAUAGUCAUUGGAAGAACUGAAGCUGAAGCUGAAGCUGAAACUCCAGUACUUUGGCCACCUGACGGGAAGAACUGACUCAUUGGAAAAGACCCUGAUGCUGGGAAAGAUUGAAGAAUGGAGGCAAAGAAUCACACUUAAAGAGAUUUUUGUGAGAAUUCAGCAUUGCCAUGGAGAUGGAAUGGGCAGAAGGAGUGGGCUGCGGUGUGGAGCAGACCCUACUUCUCGACUGACUGCUGCAGUCCCCGCAUGAUCGCAGGGAGGGUAACCGGAUGAAUUCAGGCCCAGCAGCUCCAGGACAGGGAGAUGAGGCCAGCGUUUCUCCAGAGACCCAGCAUGGCGCAUUCCUCUCUGCGACAAGGGAUCAGUACUGCGGAAACUGGAGCUGCGGGCAGCGGGGAUAGUGGCUUCCUGGUUGUGACGGGUCUUCUCUCACCCGGAGACCCAAAGUUGCUACCUAAGUGAACUUACCCUCCCGCUUACGUGAGAGUGUGUUCCAUGGACACAGCCUAGCAGGAAGAUGCAGCCUUUUAUGUCUCACUGGCUGCUGACCCACCAGUCGGAUGACAGCAUCCCUGCGGGCUUUCCUGUUUCAGUUCCGGCAGCCCUUGGUCAGUGGCCUCUCACCGUCAGGAGCAGCCCGUACAUCAGCAGCAGGGUGGCCGCCAGCAACAAGCUCGUGCUCUCCAGCAACCACAUCAGCACAGUCAUCAGCCUCUUGGGGGAGACGGUGAGCACCUAAUCUGAGGACAUCCACUACGUGCAGGAGCCUGUGGACGACACACCUACUUCGCAGCUCGACACCGCCCCCCCCACCCCGCCCCCAGCAGACCGCAUCACAAGGUGGAGAGGAAGCAGGGCCGUACCCUGCCACAAUGUGCUGUUGGCUGAGCCCCUCUGCCACCCU